GGGAGGCAGCAGUGGGGAAUCUUGCGCAAUGGGCGAAAGCCUGACGCAGCAACGCCGCGUGCGGGAUGAAGGCCUUUCGGGUUGUAAACCGCUUUCAGUAGGGAAGAAGCGAAAGUGACGGUACCUACAGAAGAAGCACCGGCUAACUAUGUGCCAGCAGCCGCGGUAAUACAUAGGGUGCAAGCGUUGUCCGGAAUUAUUGGGCGUAAAGAGCUCGUAGGUGGUUCGUUACGUCGGAUGUGAAAAUCUGGGGCUCAACCCCAGACCUGCAUCCGAUACGGUCGAGCUAGAGUUUGGUAGGGGAGACUGGAAUUCCUGGUGUAGCGGUGGAAUGCGCAGAUAUCAGGAGGAACACCAAUGGCGAAGGCAGGUCUCUGGGCCAAUACUGACACUGAGGAGCGAAAGCGUGGGGAGCGAACAGGAUUAGAUACCCUGGUAGUCCACGCCGUAAACGGUGGGCGCUAGUUGUGGGAACCUUCCACGGUUUCUGCGACGCAGCUAACGCAUUAAGCGCCCCGCCUGGGGAGUACGAUCGCAAGAUUAAAACUCAAAGGAAUUGACGGGGCCCCGCACAAGCAGCGGAGCAUGCGGCUUAAUUCGACGCAACGCGAAGAACCUUACCAAGGCUUGACAUAUACAGGAAUAUGGCAGAGAUGUCAUAGCGGUAAAACGUCUGUAUACAGGUGGUGCAUGGUUGUCGUCAGCUCGUGUCGUGAGAUGUUGGGUUAAGUCCCGCAACGAGCGCAACCCUCGUUCUGUGUUGCCAGCAUUUAGUUGGGGACUCACAGGAGACUGCCGGGGUUAACUCGGAGGAAGGUGGGGAUGACGUCAAAUCAUCAUGCCCCUUAUGUCUUGGGCUGCACGCAUGCUACAAUGGCUGGUACAAACGGCUGCAAUACCGCAAGGUGGAGCGAAUCCGAUAAAGCCAGUCUCAGUUCGGAUUGGGGUCUGCAACUCGACCCCAUGAAGUCGGAGUUGCUAGUAAUCGUAGAUCAGCAA
rnacentral:rRNA from 1 species